UGAAUUAUAUAGGGAANAGCCUCUGUAGG
rnacentral:piRNA from 1 species